UACGUAGGGUGCAAGCGUUGUCCGGAAUUAUUGGGCGUAAGGGGCUCGUAGGCGGUCUGUCACGUCGGGAGUGAAAACUCAGGGCUUAACCCUGAGCCUGCUUCCGAUACGGGCAGACUAGAGGUAUGCAGGGGAGAACGGAAUUCCUGGUGUAGCGGUGAAAUGCGCAGAUAUCAGGAGGAACACCGAUGGCGAAGGCAGCUCGCUGGGACGUGACUGACGCUGAGACGCGAAAGCGUGGGGAGCAAACAGG
rnacentral:rRNA from 1 species